CUGAAAUCAAGGGUGUCCUGUAAACCAGCUAAUCAGUGAGGAGCUGAGAUGGCCUCUGGACACUUGUAACCAUUGUGAGUGACUGUAUUUUCCUUGAGUGGCUGUCAGGAGCACAAGCUCUCUGGGUGCUGUUCCAUAUUGCCAGGAACCCCUGCUGCUCUGAGCUGUGGGACCAGUACUUCAGCUCUCAAAUGUUGUGCAUCUCCUGGAGCAUUUUGGUUUCCAUAGAUAUGUGCUCUUGGUUCAUCAUUAGUUUCCUUACCAACAACAAAGAGCAAGCCUCCAAUUCCUCGCACAAAGUUGAAGCGGAGGAUCUCGAUGGAGAACGCGAUGACUGCAAGGGCGAAACAGAUGACCAGGAUCACAAAGCCAACGAGGUAAAAUGUAGCAGGUGGAGGAGAAACAGCAAAAUCUGAGGUAAAAGUUGACGAAUC